rnacentral:rRNA from 1 species
AGAGUUUGAUCAUGGCUCAGGAUGAACGCUAGCGGCAGGCCUAAUACAUGCAAGUCGAACGGGAUGGAGUAGCAAUACUUCAUUCAGUGGCGCACGGGUGCGUAACGCGUAUGCAACCUACCUUUAACUGGGGGAUAGCCUUCCGAAAGGGAGAUUAAUACCGCAUAAUACUAUUUGAGGGCAUCCGAAGAUAGUGAAAGAUUUAUCGGUUAAAGAUGGGCAUGCGUGCCAUUAGCUAGUUGGUAGGGUAACGGCCUACCAAGGCUACGAUGGCUAGGGGUUCUGAGAGGAUGAUCCCCCACACUGGCACUGAGAUACGGGCCAGACUCCUACGGGAGGCAGCAGUAGGGAAUAUUGGGCAAUGGACGCAAGUCUGACCCAGCCAUGCCGCGUGCAGGAAGAAGGCCUUCUGGGUUGUAAACUGCUUUUAUCUGGGAAGAAAAAGUCCAUGCGUGGAAAACUGACGGUACCAGAGGAAUAAGCACCGGCUAACUCCGUGCCAGCAGCCGCGGUAAUACGGAGGGUGCAAGCGUUGUCCGGAUUUAUUGGGUUUAAAGGGUGCGUAGGCGGCCCGGUAAGUCAGUGGUGAAAGCCUCCAGCUCAACUGGAGAACUGCCAUUGAUACUGCCGGGCUUGAGUACAGACGAGGUUGGCGGAAUUGAUUGUGUAGCGGUGAAAUGCAUAGAUACAAUCAAGAACUCCGAUUGCGUAGGCAGCUAACUAGGCUGUAACUGACGCUGAGGCACGAAAGCGUGGGGAGCGAACAGGAUUAGAUACCCUGGUAGUCCACGCCGUAAACGAUGAUUACUCGAUGUUGGCGAUAAACUGUCAGCGUCUUAGCGAAAGCGUUAAGUAAUCCACCUGGGGAGUACGCCCGCAAGGGUGAAACUCAAAGGAAUUGACGGGGCCCGCACAAGCGGUGGAGCAUGUGGUUUAAUUCGAUGAUACGCGAGGAACCUUACCUAGCUAGAUGCGCGUGACCGGUCCAGAGAUGGACCUUUCUUCGGGACACAAAGCAGGUGCUGCAUGCCGUCGUCAGCUCGUGCGUGAGGUGUUGGUAAGUCCCGCACGAGCGCACCCCUAUCUUUAGUGCCAGCCCAUUAUGGUGGGACUCUAAGAGACUGCCUGCCCAAGCAUGAGACGUGGAUGACUCAGUCAAUCAUAUGCCUUACGCCCUAGGGCUUACACACCGUUGCUCUACUAUAUUGGC